rnacentral:rRNA from 1 species
GUGAGGAAUAUUGCGCAAUGGAGGCAACUCUGACGCAGCCAUGCCGCGUGCAGGAAGAAGGCGCUACGCGUUGUAAACUGCUUUUAACCGGGAAGAAACCCCAGGACGUGUCCUGGGUUGACGGUACCGGAGGAAUAAGCACCGGCUAACUUCGUGCCAGCAGCCGCGGUAAUACGAAGGGUGCAAGCGUUAUCCGGAUUCAUUGGGUUAAAAGGGUGCGUAGACGGAGCGUUAAGUCAGUGGUGAAAUCCUGCAGCUUAACUGUAGACUUGCCAUUGAUACUGGCGCUCUUGAGUGCGCUUGAAGUGGGCGGAAUGUGCCGUGUAGCGGUGAAAUGCUUAGAUAUGGCACAGAACACCAAUUGCGAAGGCAGCUCACUAAGGCGAUACUGACGCUGAGGCACGAAAGCGUGGGGAUCGAACAGGAUUAGAAACCCCGGUAGUCC